rnacentral:rRNA from 1 species
UAGAGUUUGAUCAUGGCUCAGGACGAACGCUGGCGGCGUGCUUCACACAUGCAAGUCGAACGGAAAGGCCCAGCUUGCUGGGUACUCGAGUGGCGAACGGGUGAGUAACACGUGGGUAACCUGCCCCCAUCUUCGGGAUAACCGUUGGAAACGACGGCUAAUACCGGAUACUACUGUCGGUCGCAUGACUGGUAGUGGAAAGCCUUUGCGGUUGGGGAGGGGCUCGCGGCCUAUCAGCUGGUUGGUGGGGUGAUGGCCUACCAAGGCGGUGACGGGUAGCCGGCCUGAGAGGGCGGUCGGUCACAUUGGGACUGAGAUACGGCCCAGACUCCUACGGGAGGCAGCAGUGGGGAAUUUUGCACAAUGGGCGAAAGCCUGAUGCAGCGACGCCGCGUGAGGGAUGACUGCUUUCGGGUUGUAAACCUCUUUUAUCCAUGACGAAGGUCAGGUUUUUGCCCGGUUGACGGUAGUGGUUGAAUAAGCGCCGGCUAACUACGUGCCAGCAGCCGCGGUAAGACGUAGGGCGCGAGCGUUGUCCGGAUUUAUUGGGCGUAAAGGGCUCGUAGGCGGCUCGUCGCGUCUGUCGUGAAAGGCUCCGGCUUAACUGGGGUUUUGCGGUGGAUACGGGCGGGCUUGAGGCUAGUAGGGGAGAUCGGAAUUCUACGUGUAGCGGUGAAAUGCGCAGAUAUGUGGAGGAACACCGGUGGCGAAGGCGGAUCUCUGGGCUGGUUCUGACGCUGAGGAGCGAAAGCAUGGGGAGCGAACAGGAUUAGAUACUCUGGUAGUCCAUGCUGUAAACGGUGGGCGCUAGGUGUGGGGCCACGUUGGUUGGUUCUGUGCCGUAGCUAACGCAUUAAGCGCCCCGCCUGGGGAGUACGGCCGCAAGGCUAAAACUCAAAGGAAUUGACGGGGGCCCGCACAAGCGGCGGAGCAUGCGGAUUAAUUCGAUGCAACGCGAAGAACCUUACCUGGGUUUGACAUCACCCG